rnacentral:antisense_RNA from 1 species
UUGAUGGUGAAGUCCCAUACAUCUUCGGAUUCAAGAAUGGCCUGAUAGGUAAAGUGGUCGCCAUCGAUCAACACACCCAAUUCCACCUCAUCGCCAUACUUGCCCGUACCGAUCUUGCUCACUUUGCCGUGAGCAAUCAGCACAAUCUGGUCGGCGGGGGUUCCCUUCUCUACCAGGAUGUCACCGGGUUGAAACUCCUGCUGCACAAAGCGGUCGGCCAACGCGUUCAAGACGGUUUCGUCUUCAAAGUCGCGCAGAAAGGCCAGCUCGCGCAGCUCCUGGGGAAUUACCUGAAUCGUUGACCCGACGUUCGUAAAGGUGACGCGACCAUCACCCAGCGCAUAGGUCAAGCGGCGGUUGACGCGAUAAGAGCCGCCGCGCAGAUGCACCCAAGGCAGCAGGCUGCUGAUCCAGCGUGAGGUGAUGCCCUGCAUCUGCGGAGCGGUCUUGGUGGUUGUGGCCAACUGCUUCGCUGCCCGAGUACUCAGGCUCGACUGUUCCGCUAGCG